UCAUUCUGAACUUCAGUUUUCUUCCUGUAAAAUGGGCAUGGUAUUUAAAGAAGGUGGUUCUCAUAGUGCCUGCCAUAGCAAGCACUAAAUUAAAAUGUUUCUUUUUUGAUUUCUUAUACAUUUUUGUACCCCUUGAAGUGCUUGGCAGGUGGUAGGUACUCAAUACAUGUCUGUCAUAGUUCAAGGGUUCCAGCUGUCGUUCUUUUAACAGUAAACAGACACUAUAGAUAUUUUAAAAAGGCAAAAUAGAAAAAGGUUACAGGAUAUAUUUUAGGGAAGAAUUAAAAACAAAAAUUACAUUAGGAAAAUAAAAGUAUACAAGAAUACAUAUAAGAUUCAAUAGUUUUAAAGCUGAGACAUCUUAAAAUAUUUUUAAAAAGGAAUUAACUUUUCUAUAUAGCAGCACUUUCAACAAAGUGGAAAUGUACAUAGGAUAGAUGCUCUGGCCAGGAUGCAUAUAUUUAGCUUGAGCAUGUGCAACAAUCUUAGAAAUGAUCUUCAUUAUGAUUUGUAUUGGACUUUGUUAGAGGGAAAUAAGCAUGAGCAAAUGAAUUAAUAAUCACAAAACACAUAUAUACG